rnacentral:snoRNA from 1 species
GUGUUAACGAAAAUAGGUCUGGUUAGGUUGUGAAACCAAGAGCUCCAAACAUUGUAACCCAAGAUGGAAGUUCUCCACAGGAUCCUAAAGUGACUCAGUAGUACUUAGUUUUUCAUAGAAGAACCCUUU